AGAGUUUGAUCCUGGCUCAGGAUGAACGCUGGUGGCGUGCCUAACACAUGCAAGUCGAACGGGAAUAGGAUGAAACCUAGUGAUUCCUAUUCCAGUGGCGGACGGGUGAGUAACGCGUGGGUAACCUGCCUUGCACUGGGGGAUAACACUUAGAAAUAGGUGCUAAUACCGCAUAAGCGCACAGAACCGCAUGGUUCGGUGUGAAAAACUCCGGUGGUGUAAGAUGGACCCGCGUCUGAUUAGCUGGUUGGUGAGGUAACGGCUCACCAAGGCGACGAUCAGUAGCCGGCCUGAGAGGGUGAACGGCCACAUUGGGACUGAGACACGGCCCAAACUCCUACGGGAGGCAGCAGUGGGGAAUAUUGCACAAUGGGGGAAACCCUGAUGCAGCAACGCCGCGUGAGUGAAGAAGUCAUUCGUGAUGUAAAGCUCUAUCAGCAGGGAAGAAAAUGACGGUACCUGACUAAGAAGCCCCGGCUAACUACGUGCCAGCAGCCGCGGUAAUACGUAGGGGGCAAGCGUUAUCCGGAUUUACUGGGUGUAAAGGGAGCGUAGACGGCGACGCAAGUCUGAAGUGAAAUGCCAGUGCUCAACACUGGAACUGCUUUGGAAACUGUGUAGCUAGAGUGCAGGAGAGGUAAGUGGAAUUCCUAGUGUAGCGGUGAAAUGCGUAGAUAUUAGGAGGAACACCAGUGGCGAAGGCGGCUUACUGGACUGUAACUGACGUUGAGGCUCGAAGGCGUGGGGAGCAAACAGGAUUAGAUACCCUGGUAGUCCACGCGGUAAACGAUGAUUUCUAAGUUACGGGGGGCUAAAAGCCCUUCGGUGCCGCCGCAAACGCAAUAAGUAAUCCCACCUGGGGAGUACGUUGGCAAGAAUGAAAUUCAAAGGAAUUGACGGGGACCCGCACAAGCGGUGGAGCAUGUGGUUUAAAUUCGAAGCAACGCGAAGAACCUUACCUGACCUUGACAUCCCUCUGGCCGGUCCGUAAUGGGACCUUCCCUUCGGGGCAGAGGAGACAGGUGGUGCAUGGUUGUCGUCAGCUCGUGUCGUGAGAUGUUGGGUUAAGUCCCGCAACGAGCGCAACCCCUAUCCUUAGUAGCCAGCAGUAAGAUGGGAACUCUAGGGAGACUGCCGGGGAUAAUCCGGAGGAAGGCGGGGAUGACGUCAAAUCAUCAUGCCCCUUAUGGCCAGGGCUACACACGUGCUACAAUGGCGUAAACAAAGGGAAGCGAGAUUGUGAAAUGGAGCAAAUCCCAAAAAUAACGUCUCAGUUCGGAUUGUAGUCUGCAACUCGACUACAUGAAGCUGGAAUCGCUAGUAAUCGCAGAUCAGAAUGCUGCGGUGAAUACGUUCCCGGGUCUUGCACACACCGCCCGUCA
rnacentral:rRNA from 1 species